rnacentral:rRNA from 1 species
AGUGAACGCUGGCGGUAGGCCUAACACAUGCAAGUCGAACGGCAGCACAGUAAGAGCUUGCUCUUACGGGUGGCGAGUGGCGGACGGGUGAGGAAUACAUCGGAAUCUACUUUUUCGUGGGGGAUAACGUAGGGAAACUUACGCUAAUACCGCAUACGACCUACGGGUGAAAGCAGUGGAUCUUCGCACCUUGCGCGAUUGAAUGAGCCGAUGUCGGAUUAGCUAGUUGGCGGGGUAAAGGCCCACCAAGGCGACGAUCCGUAGCUGGUCUGAGAGGAUGAUCAGCGACACUGGAACUGAGACACGGUCCAGACUCCUACGGGAGGGAGCAGUGGGGAAUAUUGGGCAAUGGGGGGAAGCCUGAUCCAGCCAGACCGCGUGGGUGAAGAAGGCCUUCGGGUUGUAAAGCCCUUUUGUUGGGAAAGAAAAGCAGCAGGUUAAUACCCAGCUGUUCUGACGGUACCCAAAGAAUAAGCACCGGCUAACUUCGUG